UAUACAAAUAAAAUAGAAAAAAUAGAAGUUUUAAAGUAAAAAAAAAAUCUAUACCUUCUACAGCUUCACAUCAUUCUGAAGCAUAUGUGUCACCUGAAUGACUGGAAUGGUAAUGGUCAAAUAUAAUAAUCAUCUUAAAGCUUCGUGUAUUUGCUUAUAAUGUUACAGUAAUAUUAUUGGAGAGUCUAUAUACAAUGAUAUUUGACAGAGACAACUUGCUCUUGAUUUCCUUAGUCACUACAUACAGCAUAUAAGGUUUGGCAUGUUUUACUGCGUAUAAACUGUAAAUGAGAAAUGCAUGUACUGUAUUUAAAUACAGGUCAUUAUUUAUAGUCCGUCUGAAAAGUGAAGUUUAUGUUGGUUACAGAUAGAAUUAUUGUGAUUCCCUCUAUUAAAAUGUAUUUGAUUGUAGCUUUCUAAUCUGAGAGCACUGAGACAUUGCACUGUUUUAUCACUCCACUUGUCUGGGUUUGCUGCAUACAAUUCUAGCAAUAGUUCAUUACACUGAAACAGUUGUUUCUCGUACUACAGGGUGUUAGUCAGUCUGUGUGUUGCAUAUCAACACAACACUUUAUCCAGCUGUGGUUUCUUUGGGAAUCUUUUCAGUGAUGGAGCAAAGCUAAUAAAAUCAUAAAAAAAAGAAAUAUAAUAAUAACUAAACAUUUGGCCAUAAUGUGUCUAAAGUGUCAGUUACUCAUUAUUAAUUUCUUGUUUAAAGAAUUGCCAUACUGUAAUAUCACAUUUGCAGUCAUGUACUGAAUAUGAGCUCACAGGCUGUGACUUCGACAUGACUAUGAUCGUAUCACCGCUGGGUUGCUCAUGUGAUCUUGCUUACUUAUACACAGCGCUGCUGAAUUCCUGAUUCUGACAGGAAGUUGUCACAGCUCUGACAGUAGGGUGAUAGUAGGUUUCUAUUAAUGUGCUUGUUCUGAUACAUACCGUUUCAGUUGCAGGUCUUGCACCUCUGUGGUUGGAUGUUUUAUUCCUGGCUGCACCUUGUGUAUGAAGUGCAGGUUCUUGUGCUUCAGAGGUUUCCUCUCGGUACUCGGUUUCCUCCCUCAAUGCAAAAAGGCAUGCGUUGUAACCUGCUUGUCAUCUCUAAAUUGUCUGUAAUGUGUGGGAUUUUGCCCUACGACUUCCUUGUGCCCUGAGUCACCAUGGAUAGACUCCAGGUUCCAAGUGACCCUGUGCAGGGUAAGUAACACAGAAAAUGUAACGCUUAUGGGUGGAUGGAUGACCAGCACUUGGAUUCGAUUCGAUUCAACUUUUUUGACAUUUCACAUGUACAGGUACAAAGCAACCAAAUUCAACUUGGCAUCUAACCAGAAGUGCAAUAAGCAGCAAGUGCAAGAUGUAAAGUAUUUUUAGUAUGAGUACAGUAUUUACAGUAUGAACAGCCAUAAUAUACGUGUGUGUGUGUGUGUGUGUGUGUGUGUGUGUGUGUGUGUGUGUGUGUGUGUGUGUGUGUGUGUGUGUGCGUGCGUGCGCCCUUGGAAAAAGCUGUUUCUCAGUCUGCUGUUUUUUGUCCGGAGGCUCCUGAGGCAUCUCCCGGAUGGAAGGGUUACAAACAGUCUAUGGGCAGGGUGAGAGGCGUCUUAAAGGAUGCUGCGAGCUUGAUGUCCUCAGUGGGGAAUGAUGAAUGAUAACAAAACAAAAUUGGUCUUUGUGGAAUUCAAGGUGUCGGCAACUCAAUACCCGUCAUCUCAUUUUCUCAGACUGCCUCUCAUGCUACACAUGUUCAGAGAUUUCUAGUCCAGUCUGCAGUCGCUAUUAUCAGUGGGCUUUUUUUUUUUUCAGUUCUUCAGAAUCAGGAUCCUUGAAACCUUCUCUGACUAUUUUUCCCCCCAGACUAAAUAGACUAUUUGUGCAGUCGUUCCAUUCUUCAGUAAACCUCUAUUAAUUACAGUAAUUCACAGGUGGCUGGGUCUGGCUGUAGAGCUUGGCAUCUGUACACUCAGAAGCAAACAUAAUUUCUGAAAGCCUUGGAUUGCCUGAAAAAUUCUGUGCUGACAAUUCUGCAGCAGCAGCACAGAUAUGUUUACCUGGAAAAAAAAAACUGAUUGAACUGGAUGGACUUAUCUCUUUUAUGGUCGUACUCAAGCCGGCGACCUUUUCUUUGCACACCGUCGGUGCUUUGGACUUUGAUGGUUUCAGGCAAAUAAGAUGAUGCUGAUCAACAUCUGAAUCUUUUCUUUUUUUAAACAUCCCAAGGUUAUAUCACACUCUUGCUGUCUUUUCUCGGUGGAGUUGUCUUUAGGACUCAGCAGGCAUUUCUGGAAGAGAACAAAGCUGUUCUUGCAAGCCAGCAUUUUCAUUCUGGUUCCCCUGAUCGUAUGAUUCAUUCCUCUGUAGCUGCAACAUCAAAUGCUCCUUACAGCCUUCACUAAUACUAUUAACAGCCUGAAGAAGAUAAUAGCGCAGUCUGGGGCUUCUUGAGUGAAGGUUGGACACUUGGUUUGGAUAUGGUUUGUAAUUUUGAUGUAAUAAGCAGUAUCAGCAUUUAGAAAUGCUGUCAACGUAUUUUAUGAUUAUUAUUUAAUAUUAUCAGUAGCUUCUGUGGUGAAAAGCAUAAGACAGCCAUGUGUUGUUGGGUGUUUUUUUUUUUUUUUGCAGUGCAGCAGCAGAAUACUACAAAAAUAAAAUUAUUCAACCCCAGUCAUGUCAUGAUCCUUCCAUGGCUCAGGGGUCCUUUAGAGGGCAUCUGUAAGGGAUUUACGGAUGAGGAUUCCUAAUCAGGGCCUUCCGAGAUGGUAGAAACCUCAGAACUUAAUUUUCAUUAAAGAACUACAGACAA